AACGCACCUUGCGCCCCUUGGUUAUUCCUCGGAGCAUGCCUGUUUGAGUAUCAUGAACACCUCAACUCUCAUGGUCUUCCAUGAUGAGCUUGGACUUUGGGGGUUUGCUGGCCUUGUGGCCGGCUCCUCUCAAAUGAAUCAGCUUGCCAGUGUUUGGCGGCGUCACGGGUGUGAUAACUAUCUACGCUCGUGGUCGUCCACCAGGUAACCCUCAGCGAUGAAGGUUCAUUGGGGCUCAUAAACGUCUCUCCCCAGCGAGGACAACUUUUGAACGUUCGAUCUCAAAUCAGGUAGGACUACCCGCUGAACUUAA
rnacentral:misc_RNA from 1 species